CCUGCCCCUAGAAGGUGUUGUAGGUGUGACUGCUGUGUGACAUGUGUGUCAGUAGGUGGCAGAGAGAAGAGAGGCUAUGUCUAUACUCAGGGUCUGGCCUGUGAACGAAUGAUUAGAGGCCUAACACU